UACAGAGGUCUCGAGCGUUAGGCGGAAUCACUGGGCUUAAAGCGUGUGUAGGCGGAUCGUUAAGUGUCUUGUGAAAUCCCACGGCUCACCCGUGGAACUGCUGGGCAUACUGGCGAUCUUGGGCCAACUAGGGCAACUGGAACAAGCGGUGGAGCGGUGAAAUGCGUAGAUAUCGCUUGGAACGCCAAAGGUGAAAACAGGUUGCUGGGGUUGUGCCGACGCUGAGACACGAAAGCCAGGGGAGCAAACGGG
rnacentral:rRNA from 1 species